UCGGGAAUUUUGGACAAUGGGCGCAAGCCUGAUCCAGCCAUGCCGCGUGUGUGAAGAAGGCCUUCGGGUUGUAAAGCACUUUCAGCGAGGAGGAAGGGAGUUGUGUUAAUAGCACAGCUUCUUGACGUUACUCGCAGAAGAAGCACCGGCUAACUCUGUGCCAGCAGCCGCGGUAAUACAGAGGGUGCAAGCGUUAAUCGGAAUUACUGGGCGUAAAGCGCACGUAGGCGGUUUUUAAGUCAGAUGUGAAAGCCCCGGGCUCAACCUGGGAAUUGCAUUUGAAACUGGAAAACUAGAGUGUGUGAGAGGGGGGUAGAAUUCCAAGUGUAGCGGUGAAAUGCGUAGAGAUUUGGAGGAAUACCAGUGGCGAAGGCGGCCCCCUGGCACAACACUGACGCUCAGGUGCGAAAGCGUGGGGAGCAAACAGGAUUAGAUACCCACGUAGUCCCUGAGCGGGCUGGCAAGGCGCAU
rnacentral:rRNA from 1 species